rnacentral:lncRNA from 10 species
GAUCCAUGUGAAGUAAUGUCUUGUGAAUAUUCCACAUGGAUGCAGCCCCUACAUCGUCAGAUCUCUCCAGGUAUUUCGGAAAGAUUUUAAUCCCUCAGCUUAAACACAAGUUCCGUUUUAGGGCCAAUCCCCAGAUGGAGGAGUUAGAUGUACAUUCCUUCAAAGAGGCCCCAGCCAGCCACCCCAAGGUUUGGAGCCCGUGAGUGAGAAAGUCUGGAACUUUUGGCUGCUUGGUUUCAUUUUUUUAGUUUUCUUUUUGGGAGUGGUGGUAGAAUUUUACAAAGACUUGGUGGGGGAAGACGGGAAGAGAGCUGUCCCAGAAAGGAAGAUUUUAUACUCCAUACCAUCUUCUGACUUUCCCUUUUUAAAUGGUCUUGUGAUUUGUCUCCAGAGAAGAGUUGGGAACAGGACCUAGAAAGAAGAGGGGCAGCUUUGUUGGAAUUUAUUGCUGGUUCUGCACAGGCCCUGGCCCGGGUCCCAGGGACAUCAGGGCCCAGAGACCUCACGUGGCUUGUCCUCACCUGGCUUGCCUAGGUUUGAGGUGUUGCUCAAGACAGAGCCUUUGCUGCUGCCCCUGAACACUGCCUGCCAGCACCCCAGCCCACCACCCUGACCUCAUCACCCCGGAAAGGAGCAAGCUCAUCAAAUAGGACAGUGCUUGGGGUCUUCGCCAGUAGCUAGCACUGGCUGCUGUUUAUGAGCAUCUGUUAUACACAAGGCAGUGGAGCAUUCUCACAUUUAAUCCUCAACACAGUGCUAUCAGAAAGGACAAUGCAGGGGCUUAGGAUGAUCCAAGACUUGGAGUCUGCAGAACCGGGAUCGAAUCUCACUCUGCCAUGUACUAGUUCUGUGAUAUAAAGAAAAUCAC